GAGACCCUUUGAAAAGAGGACUCCCUUCCAGCACAAGAAUCUACAGGUCGAGCAAGUCUCGUAAAUUUCACGAUUGCGAGCCACGCUUCACGCAACCGUGUUUGCGUACUUGUGUUUCGAGUUGCGUGGUCGUGCGGAGCUAUAUUUACCAAAUUAAUCGUUUCUACUGAUUCAUAAUAAUUAAAUCAAUAUGUCAAUAUGGCUACUGGGUGUAAAAGAUAAAUUUAUUCUAUCUGUUCUUAAUGAGUUUUAGAUAAUUUUAGUUGUAUUUCUUUGUAAUUUUGUGUUGUACAAAGAUUAAUUUAACAUUUUCUCUGGAAGUAUUAAUUUAGAAAGAUAAUAUUAUGCUUCAUUGGUGUUGUGUUUUGAAGUGUGAAAUGCAAAGUAUGUAAUUGUGAUAAAGUCAAGAUAAAGUUCACUUUUAAACUGAACUAAAGAAGGUAUCUGAGAGACAACAAUGGUUAAAUGCAAUACAAUGUACAGGUUUUGCUAGCGAAAUGAAAAUUUUCCUGUCCUGUCUGCUGUAAUCAUUUUAUAUCUGGAAAACCAGCCGACUUAAUCGAUAAUAUCAAUCUCCAGAUUGGGUUCCUUCAAUAAAUAUGGGCUAUAAACACAAUGAAAUAAGUUUCCCAAAAUCUAAAAUGGAGUGGUAUCAAAGGAGAAUUAAAGGGAAAAAUAUUCAUAUUGAAAUUAUUUAUAAGGCACUGGACUGUCUUAAAUUCUACAAUAAUACUAGAAUCAGCUGAGAGAAGUGGUCUACAAAAAACCAGGAAGGAAACGGAAUAUGUGGCUACGAAAGGCAAAAGAAAGGUUUACAAAGCAAAUGUGACACAUUUUUUUGAAAUAUUUAGGAAUAUCAGUAAAUUGCAUUAAAAAAAUGUAUGAAAAGAUUUUGUUCAAUAAAAAUGUUUUU